rnacentral:rRNA from 1 species
UGGGGAAUCUUGCGCAAUGGGCGAAAGCCUGACGCAGCGACGCCGCGUGAGUGAUGAAGGCCUUCGGGUUGUAAAGCUCUGUGGAGGGGGACGAAUAAGGGUUGGCUAAUAUCCAGCUCGAUGACGGUACCCCUUUAGCAAGCACCGGCUAACUCUGUGCCAGCAGCCGCGGUAAGACAGAGGGUGCAAACGUUGUUCGGAAUUACUGGGCGUAAAGCGCGUGUAGGCGGCGCGGAAAGUCGGAUGUGAAAGCCCUGGGCUUAACCUAGGAAGUGCAUUCGAAACUCCCGUGCUUGAGUUCUGGAGAGGAAGGCGGAAUUCUCGGUGUAGAGGUGAAAUUCGUAGAUAUCGAGAGGAACACCGGUGGCGAAGGCGGCCUUCUGGACAGUGACUGACGCUGAGACGCGAAAGCGUGGGGAGCAAACAG